CCUCGCCCCAGAAGUCAAGGAAACCCCUCAAGUAUACCCUGAGCUGUCUUAACUACAAUAUUUUAUUAGUGUUCAAACAAUGUGUUAAAUGGGCGGGGGAUUCAUAAUCUUUAUCAUAAUUGAAUGAUUCAAGGUGUUUAGGUCAUCAACUAGACAUUUUACCUACCUAUUCCUCUACUUGCUGCUUCUAGACAACAGAACUAGUUGAUAUUAUUUAUAAAUGCAACAUGUUCAAAUGCUCAAUGCUUCAAUGAAAUUGAGGUUCUCAAUUAUUAAUAUCUGACUUAACCAAAACCGUCCAAAUGUUUAAACGACUUUUGCUCGCCCCCUAGAAAUAAAAAGGCAACUUCUGUAUCUCACAUUCAUGGAAGCAAAAGAAGAAACUCUAAAUUAAAACAAUCUUGUACUAAAGCACAAGUGGGUAGCAUUUACCUUGAAGGCUUUGAUACGCUGCGGUAGUGGAAGGAUGAUUCUCUAAAGGGAAGUAAAAAAGAUAACUGCUCUCAUCAUCUUCUCAAUUACAAUCUCUGCAAUGGCAAAUUAUCCCACUCGUUCUCAGAUGUUUCAACCUUACCAAAACUACAGUGUAUAGUCACUAGUAGCACUUGUGAACCAAAAACUAACCGAAGAAAGAGGGAAAGACACCGGAAAUAUUCUUUUCCAUAUCUAGCAUGUGCUUAUGUAGUCUAAUAUAUCUACCAGAAGCCAUAAUCAAAUGUAUAUAACACCUAUGAAACUUUUGAAUUUCGACCUACAACAGUAGCAGUCUAGGCAACUCUUAAACAACGCAAAGCAUGUUUUAUCAAGGAUCAGGUCACACUUGCAGAAAUAAUCAAAUCAUUGUAUCAUUCAAAGAAAGAAAUAAAGAGUUACGCAAACAAGCAAUAAGCAAGAACCAACAAUCCAAAUGAACAAUAUAUAUCAACCUAGACUUAAAAAAAAAACAUUCAGGAAUGUAAAAUUUUGGCCAGCCACUCAAAUCCAUCAACCAUCAACUAUCUAAAAUAUGCAAUCAAACUAAAACUCUAACCAUUUCUUGUAAUAUUCACAGGUGAUGGGAGAGAUUAUUCCAUCAGGGGUGCAACGACUUAUCUGUGGACAAACUCCACAAGGAACGGAAGCCAAGGCACCAAGCUUGGGUUCUCCUCCAUAACCUCUCUUACCGGCACAUUUAUAGCAAGCUUUCCCAACUGGAAUUGACGCAAACUCCCCCGUUCCAGUACUUCUCACUUCCAUAACCUCAUUAUCCAAAACCAAAGCCUUCACAAUCUCUUCAACCUGCUGUUUCGACAAUUCAAUCUGCGAAACAUUGCUCCUCUUGAUAGCAUCCGCAAUCCCUUCCAAAGUAGCAACUUUCAAACCAUAAAUCUUCCUCCAACACUGCUCUUUCAAAACAUUAAUGUACUCCUUGUCGAGGCUACCUUCAACAUACCAUGCCCCACCAGUUAUUUCAUUGGAAGGCUCAAACUCCGCGGACAUAUAAUGCUUCUGUCUCCGGCUGUGGAUGUUUUUCACUUCUUUUAUGAGAUUCUUAGAUACCAGUGACUUAAUACAUUUGGCGAUUAGGUUGCUGUGAAGAUUAAUUUCGCGUUUCAUGUCUUGUUGCGAUAUUCCCAUGUCUUGUUUGCUUCGGAUUACUUCAUGAACAAUUCGUUCUUGUUCUGUUACAGAA